AAACUUUCAACAACGGAUCUCUUGGCUCUGGCAUCGAUGAAGAACGCAGCGAAAUGCGAUAAGUAAUGUGAAUUGCAGAAUUCAGUGAAUCAUCGAAUCUUUGAACGCACAUUGCGCCCGCCAGCACUCUGGCGGGCAUGCCUGUUCGAGCGUCAUUU
rnacentral:rRNA from 8 species